rnacentral:rRNA from 1 species
AGUGAACGCUGGCGGCAUGCCUUACACAUGCAAGUCGAACGGCAGCAUGAUCUAACUUUCUCGAUUGGUGGCGAGUGGCGCACGGGGGUGUAAUACAUCGGAACGUGUCCUGUAGUGGGGGAUAACUCGUCGAAAGAUUAGCUCAUACCCCAUACGACCCGAAGGUGUAAGUGCGGGACCGCAAGGCCUCAUGCUCUAGGAGCGGCCGAUGUCUGAUUAGCUAGUUGGUGCGGUAAAGGCUCACCAAGGCGACGAUCAGUAGCUGGUCUGAGAGGAUGAUCAGCCACACUGGGACUGAGACACGGCCCAGACUCCUACGGGAGGCAGCAGUGGGGAAUUUUGGACAAUGGGCGAAAGCCUGAUCCAGCAAUGCCGCGUGUGUGAAGAAGGCCUUCGGGUUGUAAAGCACUUUUGUUCGGAAAGAAAAGGAGCUGGUUAAUACCUGGGUGCGAUGACGGUACCGGAAGAAUAAGCACCGGCUAACUACGUG